rnacentral:rRNA from 1 species
UGGGGAAUAUUGCACAAUGGGGGAAACCCUGAAGCAGCAACGCCGCGUGGAGGAUGAAGGUUUUAGGAUUGUAAACUCCUUUUGUAAGAGAAGAUUAUGACGGUAUCUUACGAAUAAGCACCGGCUAACUCCGUGCCAGCAGCCGCGGUAAUACGGAGGGUGCAAGCGUUACUCGGAAUCACUGGGCGUAGAGAGCGCGUAGGCGGGAGAGUAAGUCAGAUGUGAAAUCCUGUAGCUCGAAAGUGUGGGUAUCAAACAGG